GCUCAGUCUGUGAGAUCAGAAAAGAUCAAAGCCAAAUGUGAUAUGCCUCUAGGCCGUGUGCUGAAAUAAAGUCCCAACAACUCACAACACAAUCAUUGUUCAUUAUGAUUUCCUUUAGGGAGCUCCUCAUAGGGAAUGGCUUAACCGGAAGGAAAGAGUUAUCAAACUGUCUGAUAAAAAGAUGGACGUAGAUAACAACCUACCUAUAACUAACACUCUGCUGUCCUACAAAAUAAAGUGAUUCCAAAGAAGUUGUAUAAACUUACAUUCUGAAUAGAAUAUAUUGUCACAGUCAAAUAAUUUACCAUUUUUCCCCUGAAACCUUGACUGACUGAUUGGUCUAUGAUGGUGUUUAAUAGUUUAUUUUUUUUCAACCUCCUGCUUACUCAAAAUAAUAUAGGUAAUUAGGAAUCUGUUGAUUAGGAUCAGUUCAAUGAAUAAUUACUCUAGAGACAUUCUUAUUACUGGACACCUUAUCUGGAUCUACAGAGAAAACAACAUUAAUUGUAAAGUGUAUAUUAUUUCCCUUCACAGCUUACAUCAGCUUAAGUUAAGUAUUUCAAAUUAGCAAAUCAUGUUAUUUUUAAAUAAAGCUUUUGUUGACUGAAACUGAAUACAUUAACUGGGCAGUUAAAGCUUUAUUUAUAUAGUUAUUUUAUGCUCUUCAGAAGAAGUAAUUCAGGCAAUGUGUGGGGCUGCCUCUGAAGAUGGUUCGGAAACUUCAGCUGGUGCAAAAUGCAAUGACGAGCUUGCUCACCAUAACAAGGUGGUUUGAGCAUAUAAAACCAAUUCUGGCACAACUGUACCGGCUGCUGAUUAGAAGAAGAAGAAGAAGAAGAAGAAGAAGAAGAAGAAGAAGAAGAAGAAGAAGAAUUUGGAUUUGAUAUCCCACCUUUCACUCCCUUUAAGGAGUCUCAAAGCGGCUAACAGUCUCCUUUCCCUUCCUCCCCCACAACAAACACUCUGUGAGGUGAGUGGGGCUGAGAGACUUCAAAGAAGUGUGACUGGCCCAAGGUCACCCAGCAGCUGCAUGUGGAGGAGCGGAGACGUGAACCCGGUUCCCCAGAUUACGAGACUACCGCUCUUAACCACUACACCACACUGGUUCUCAUUAGUUUCUGGGCCCAAUUCAAAAGUGCUGGUGUUGACUUACACAGCUCAGGAUCUCAGUAUGUUUGGUAUCACCUCUCCCCAUACGAAUCAACCUGGGUCUGCAUUGUCCUCUGAGGCCCCUUUCUAUGCCCCCUCCAAGAGAGGUUAAGAGGUUGGCAACACGAGAACGGGCCUUUUCUGCAGUGGCUCCCCUUUUGUGGAAUGUUCUCCCCAGGGAGGCUUGCCUGGCACCUUCAUUAUACACCUUUAGACACCAGGUGAAAACGUUCCUCUUCAAGCAAGUCUUUGGCUAAUUAACUCCAAUGUCCUUUUAAAUGUUUUCGAGGGGGUUAUUGUUUUGUUUUGUCUUUGGUCAUGUUUUUAUUAUAUAUUGUGUGUUUUUAUCUUACAUUUUUAUGCUCUGAACUGCCCUGAUAUUUUCAGAUGAGGGGUUGCAUUGAAUAAAUAAUAAAUAAAAUAUAGGAAAACGAAGCACAGUUCUGUCAAAGAAUUUAUUCUGUUCCACCAAAGUAAAUGGAGAAACCUACCUUUUAAAAUAGCUACUGUUGCAUUUGCUGUUUUAGAUGUUUUCAAAAGUA